rnacentral:rRNA from 1 species
GAUGAACGCUGACAGAAUGCUUAACACAUGCAAGUCUACUUGAACUUCGGUUUGGGUGGCGGACGGGUGAGUAACGCGUAAAGAACUUGCCUCACAGUUAGGGACAACAUUUGGAAACGAAUGCUAAUACCUGAUAUUAUGAUUUUAGGGCAUCCUAAAAUUAUGAAAGCUAUAUGCGCUGUGAGAGAGCUUUGCGUCCCAUUAGCUAGUUGGAGAGGUAACGGCUCACCAAGGCGAUGAUGGGUAGCCGGCCUGAGAGGGUGAACGGCCACAAGGGGACUGAGACACGGCCCUUACGCCUACGGGAGGCAGCAGUGGGGAAUAUUGGACAAUGGACCAAAAGUCUGAUCCAGCAAUUCUGUGUGCACGAUGACGUUUUUCGGAAUGUAAAGUGCUUUCAGUUGGGAAGAAAAAAAUGACGGUACCAACAGAAGAAGAGACGGCUAAAUACGUG